GCCUUGACACAUUAUAAUAAAAGUCCAGUAUUGACCAAUCAUGGUAAAGAGCAAUACUGGACUUUUAUUAUAAUGUGUCGAGGCGU